AGUGAACGCUGGCGGUAGGCCUAACACAUGCAAGUCGAACGGCAGCACAGUAAGAGCUUGCUCUUACGGGUGGCGAGUGGCGGACGGGUGAGGAAUACAUCGGAAUCUACUUUUUCGUGGGGGAUAACGUAGGGAAACUUACGCUAAUACCGCAUACGACCUACGGGUGAAAGGAGGGGAUCUUCGGACCUUGCGCGAUUGAAUGAGCCGAUGUCGGAUUAGCUAGUUGGCGGGGUAAAGGCCCACCAAGGGGACGAUCCGCAGCCGGUCUGAGAGAAUGGUCAGCCACACUGGAACUGAGACACGGUCCUGACUACUACGGGAGGCAGCAGUGGGGAAUAUUGGACAAUGGGCGCAAACCUGAUCCAGCCAUACCGCGUGGGUGAAGAAGGCCUUCGGGUUGUAAAGCCCUUUUGUUGGGAAAGAAAAGCAGCAGGUUAAUACCCCGCUGUUCUGACGGUACCCAAAGAAUAAGCACCGGCUAACUUCGUG
rnacentral:rRNA from 1 species